UCGCAUCUGUGCAUGCAGCAUAUCAAUAAGCGGAGGAAAAGAAACUAACAAGGAUUCCCUCAGUAACGGCGAGUGAAGCGGGAAGAGCUCAAAUUUGAAAUCUUGAAAGGUCACCUUUCACGAAUUGUAGUUUAAAGAAGUGUCUUCUGUUACGAUCGUAAUAUAAGUUCUUUGGAAUAGGACAUCACAGAGGGUGAGAAUCCCGUCUAUGAUUGCGAUUUGUAGCUUUGUGAUACACUUUCAAAGAGUCGGGUUGUUUGGGAAUGCAGCCCAAAACGGGAGGUAAAUUUCUUCUAAGGCUAAAUAUUGGCGAGAGACCGAUAGCGAACAAGUACCGUGAGGGAAAGAUGAAAAGAACUUUGAAAAGAGAGUUAAAUAGUACGUGAAAUUGUCAAAAGGGAAGCGUUUAACACCAGUGUUGUUUUCUGAAAAUCAACCUCUGUUAGCUUUAUGCAUGUUUGUUUAGACCUAAUCAGCUAUCUUGCAUGUUCUAUUGUUUGCAGUGGUGCACUUUUCAGUUUACAGGUCAACAUCAGUUUUUUUUACCGUAAAAAAGCUAAAGAAAGGUAGCUCAUGGCUCCGGUCGUGAGUGUUAUAGUCUUUUUCCUAUGCGGUAGGAGAGACUGAGGUCUGCAGUGUAGGCUAUUUGGCUAGAUACUCAGGUGCUAUGUGAUACCAUUUCAUAAACAACUUGUUGAUUAUGUUUUGUCUAUUGCAUAGCUCGCUUGUACUAUCAUACCUACGCUUAGGAUGUUGACGAUCAGCUGAGCGCG
rnacentral:rRNA from 1 species